GGCAGAUGGCACCUAGUGGACAUGGCAUCUGCCCGGUAAGCGGAGCGUUGUGGGUUCGAUUCCCGCCCCUGGACA
rnacentral:tRNA from 1 species